rnacentral:lncRNA from 1 species
AAAAAUUUAAAAAUACUAUAGCCGAUGAAUAAACCUUUAAAUAUCGUCGGCUAAAGUUGCUGGUUUUUGAGAAAAAAAACUGUAGAAACUUUCGGCCACCUCCAAUCACCACCAAAUUUAACAAAAUCUUCCUCUCAACAUUUCGAACAACUUUCUAGAAGAAAUCGAAGCCCAAUUCUAAGCCUAAACAGGUUAAUUGAAUCAAAAUAUAAAAAUCCCCAAUUUUAAACCCUAAAAACUUCAAAUCUUCGAUUCUCCUCACACACACCGAAUCGAGCUACCAAAUUCUAGGGGAAUGUAGUACUAAUCAAACUCAACUUAUCCAUAUAUAGAACUCACCAAAUGGUGACCUGAGGAAGGAGAAAUUCGAUCGACACCGAAUCCGAACCGGCAGAGUUUUGGAGCUCGAUUUAUCCCUCACGGCGGCGCCACUCGAUGCACCACCUGUCCAGCAAUGAAGUAGAGACGACGGCGAAGCUUUUGGGACAAUUGUGGCGGUCUCCGGUGGCUUGAUGGCGGAGUUAGGCCGAGAAGAAAAUCUGGCAGGCGAAAUAGACUUCUUACCAUCCAUCUGCGGUAAAACUCCUAUAUAAAGAACUUUAGCCGACGAAAUUCUUUAUUUUCGUCGGCUAAACUCUUUUGAAAAUUUUGGUUGACAAAAUUUUUCGACUUUAGCCGACGACUUUUCAUAUAUUUUCAUCGGCUAAAGUCCUUUAAAAAUUUUCCUCCAAAUUUGGUUUACCGCCCAAAAAUUUUUGACCUUAGCCGACGACUUUUUUAAUAUCUCGUCGGCUAAAGUCUAUAAAUUCACGAAAACGCUCGUAUCUCCCUCUAUAUUACGUAGUUUAGUCAAACCUUCCACACGAAAAACUUUCACGUAGAUGAGACGCAACCGCCUAUAUAAAAAUUGUGAGACAUUUACCUUCCGACGAUAGGGCUCCCCAUAGGGAAUAAUAACGGUAAAUAGGGUUGACCGCUACUAUCGGCACCGAGGCUUUACCCGAUUUACGUGAUUUUUGAACCAUAGCCGUAUUUGACCAUUCUGAACACAUCUUAUUUCACGAGAUUUUUGAUAAUUUUGCUUCCUAUAUAGAGUUGGUUCACAAAAUUGUAUAACCUACUAAACAAGUUAUAUAACAUUAGUAAACACGUUGUGAUUCUGAUGACUAAAAUUCACAAACCAAAAUUCGACCGUCAGAUAUGAUCAUUAUGAUGAAAGAGGUCUGUGGUAAAAAAUUCAACUGGAUCCAACAACGUUAAGGACUCGAUCGAAACGGUCAAUCCUAAUCCAUCGUCACUUAUCACACGAAAAUGCUCAUAUCUCCCUCUAUAUUACGUGGUUUGGUCAAACCUUCC